rnacentral:rRNA from 1 species
GAGUUUGAUCCUGGCUCAGAUUGAACGCUGGCGGCAUGCCUUACACAUGCAAGUCGAACGGCAGCACGGGAGCUUGCUCCUGGUGGCGAGUGGCGAACGGGUGAGUAAUGCAUCGGAACGUAUCCUGGAGUGGGGGAUAACGUAGCGAAAGUUACGCUAAUACCGCAUAUUCUGUGAGCAGGAAAGCGGGGGACCUUCGGGCCUCGCGCUCUUGGAGCGGCCGAUGUCGGAUUAGCUAGUUGGUGGGGUAAUGGCUCACCAAGGCGACGAUCCGUAACUGGUCUGAGAGGAUGAUCAGUCACACUGGAACUGAGACACGGUCCAGACUCCUACGGGAGGCAGCAGUGGGGAAUAUUGGACAAUGGGCGAAAGCCUGAUCCAGCCAUGCCGCGUGUGUGAAGAAGGUCUCCGGAUUGUAAAGCACUUUAAGUUGGGAGGAAGGGCAGUAAGUUAAUACCUUGCUGUUUUGACGUUACCGACAGAAUAAGCACCGGCUAACUCUGUGCCACG